ensembl:snoRNA
UGGUCAUUACCAAGGCUGCUAGGAAAACACUGUUUCUAGUAUGCUGUGGACAUGACCAUAAAGAGAAUCCAUCAGAUGUAUGCAUUGCUACUGAAGUAGCGUUUCAUCUGUUGGAAACAAGG